rnacentral:rRNA from 1 species
GUAGGUGGCAAGCGUUGUCCGGAAUUAUUGGGCGUAAAGCGCGCGCAGGCGGUUCUUUAAGUCUGAUGUGAAAGCCCACGGCGCAACCGUGGAGGGUCAUUGGAAACUGGAGAACUUGAGUACAGAAGAGGAAAGCGGAAUUCCACGUGUAGCGGUGAAAUGCGUAGAGAUGUGGAGGAACACCAGUGGCGAAGGCGGCUUUCUGGUCUGUAACUGACGCUGAGGCGCGAAAGCGUGGGGAGCAAACAGGAUUAGAUACCCUGGUAGUCCACGCCGUAAACGAUGAGUGCUAAGUGUUAGGGGGGUUUCCGCCCCCCUUAGUGCUGCAGCUAACGCAUUAAGCACUCCGCCUGGGAGUACGGCCGCAAGGCUG